rfam:Pelodiscus sinensis unplaced genomic scaffold scaffold391, whole genome shotgun sequence.
GGCUAGCUCAGGGGUUUGAGCAUUGGUCUGCUAAACCCAGGGUUGUGAGUUCAAUCCUUGCAGAGGCCA